AAAAAGUAUAUUUCUCGUAGAGUUUCCAUUUCACCGAGAAAAAGUGAUAGAGAGUGAAAGAGUGUGAACAAAGCGCUUAGUGAGUUAGAGAUGGAGACGGAGGGGACGAAACCAGUUGCAGUGUUUUUGGCUUUUGGUACCAAAGGCGACGUUUAUCCUAUAGCUGCCAUUGCUGCAGGUUUUGCUUCUGACCAGAAGCAAUACAAUGUGAUUCUUAUUACUCAUUCCGCGCAUGAGUUAUGCAACAGAGUACUCAAUCAGCACAACAUCUUUUGUAUAUUAAUUUUCUCUUUUUAUUUACUAACCAAAGGUACCUGACUAACAGCUGUUUCCCGACCUUUUAGAGAUUAUAAUACAAUUAGAAUUUCCUGACUAACCAAUUUGCUGUUCUAUAAUAUCGCAAUUUCUUUUGUUAUUUCGUUUGUCUGCUGUCCUGCAGAAUUUAAGUUCUCAUUUGGCUGAAAAACAUGUUGCUUAUCUUCCAAUUUCAUCACCACCAGUUCUUUCUACGGACCAGAUUCAGAAGGCUGCAGGUUGGAUGCAUAUGUCAUUUUCACUGCAGAAAAGAAUGCUUACUAGAGAUCGUAGACAAGAGUGCUAUUCUGUAGUUGAAAAGAUUUUUGGAUAUGGUCCAAGCAUGGAGGGUGACUUUAUUGUAAUAAACUUUUUUGCAUUGGUAAUUUUUUACAGAAUAUUAAUAACUUUCUCAGUUGAUUUGAUUACGACAUUUACAAAGUUAUGAAAAUACAAACAAGAAAUAAUCAGUUUUAAACAUUGUAUCGAUACAUGCUUAUAAUUUUCUCAAAAAUAUAUAUUUUCCCACAAGUUAAAUAUAACACUUUUCUGUUGU